UGGGGAAUAUUGGACAAUGGGCGAAAGCCUGAUCCAGCCAUGCCGCGUGUGUGAAGAAGGUCUUCGGAUUGUAAAGCACUUUAAGUUGGGAGGAAGGGCAUUUACCUAAUACGUAAGUGUUUUGACGUUACCGACAGAAUAAGCACCGGCUAACUCUGUGCCAGCAGCCGCGGUAAUACAGAGGGUGCAAGCGUUAAUCGGAAUUACUGGGCGUAAAGCGCGCGUAGGUGGUUUGUUAAGUUGGAUGUGAAAUCCCCGGGCUCAACCUGGAACUGCAUUCAAAACUGACAAGCUAGAGUAUGGUAGAGGGUGGUGGAAUUUCCUGUGUAGCGGUGAAAUGCGUAGAUAUAGGAAGGAACACCAGUGGCGAAGGCGACCACCUGGACUGAUACUGACACUGAGGUGCGAAAAGCGUGGGGAGCAAAACAGGAUUAGAUACCCUGGUAGUCCACGCCGUAAACCGAUGUCAACUAGCCGUUGGGAGCCUUGAGCUCUUAGUGGCGCAGCUAACGCAUUAAGUUGACCGCCUGGGGAGUACGGCCGC
rnacentral:rRNA from 1 species